UACGUAGGGGGCAAGCGUUGUCCGGAUUUAUUGGGCGUAAAGAGCGUGUAGGCGGUCUGGUAGGUCCGUUGUGAAAACUCGAGGCUCAACCUCGAGACGCCGAUGGAAACCAUCAGACUAGAGUCCGGAAGAGGAGAGUGGGAAUUCCUGGUGUAGCGGUGAAAUGCGCAGAUAUCAGGAAGAACACCCGUGGCUAAGGCGGCUCUCUAGUACGGUACUGACGCUGAGACGCGAAAGCGUGGGGAGCGAACAGG
rnacentral:rRNA from 1 species